AUUGAACGCUGGCGGCAGGCCUAACACAUGCAAGUCGAACGAGUGGCGGACGGGUGAGUAAUGACCGGGAAACUGCCUGUUGGAGGGGGAUAACUACUGGACCCGGUAGCUAAUACCGCAUACCAUUGGAUGUGCCCAGAUGGGAUUAGCUAGUAGGUGGGGUAAAGGCUCACCUAGGCGCAGAUCCCUAGCGGGUGUGAGAGGAUGACCAGCCACACUGGAACUGAGACACGGUCCAGACUCCUACGGGAGGCGUGAGUGGGGAAUAGUGCACAAUGGGCGCAAGGCUGAUGCGGACAUGCCACGUGUAUGAAGAGGGCCUUGGGGUUGUAAAGUACUUUCAGCGGGGAGGCGUUACCCGCAGAAGAAGCACCGGCUAACUCCGUGCCAGCCGCCGCGGUAAUUC
rnacentral:rRNA from 1 species